CUUGUCCUAGAAAUAUUCUCACUGUUUAUUUGGGGGUGGAGAGCUGGGAUGAGGGAAAUUUCUCAAAGGCUAUCUCCUUUUGAUUGUUUCCUAUUCACCUAGCCAAGUAUUCAUGAAGCAGUUCCCAUCUGCGGAGCACCAUUCAACUGAGUAAGACACAGCCUCUGGCCUCCAGAUCUCACCAUCUAGCUCUUCUAUCCGAAAAAGAAGGACAAUACCUCUUUGCCUUCUUCACAGGGCCACCCCUCACUUAUUUAUUCACUUAGUAGACAUGUCUUAGGCACAAAAAAGUUGCCAGGCAACUUUUAGGAGCUAAGAAUAGGGGCUUUGUUCUCUCCGGGAUCUUACAGGGAGAGAGACUCAGCAGAGGAUUGCGCUGCAGUGCAGCUGUGGGAGCUGGAGGCAGCCUCGCCACCUGCCUAAAUGAGGACUGAAAUCUGGAGGGACUAAAUGGCCAGGAUCCUGCGGUACCAAGUUGGAGCUGGUGUGAAAGACACUCAUUUGGAGGAGAUGAGAAAUGAGGCCAGAGAGAUUUUUGAAAACUGCCUCUUGAGUCAUCCCAGAACAUCAGAGGGGGUCAAGGAGUGUACAAAGGUUGAGAGAACCCAUCUGUGAACUGAGAGCUUUAUAUUAUUUUGAACAAUUUUAAGUUUCCUGCCAAUGUGCCUGGGAAGGCAGAAGAAGAUGGCCUGAGUGUGGCGCCUGCCACCCUUACGGAAGACAAGGAUGAUGUUCCUGGUUCCUGCUUUGCUUUGGCCCAGAUCUGUCAAUUGGGGCCAUUUGGGGAAGCAAAUGGAAGAUGGCAGAUCUCUCUCUCUCUCUCUUUUUGUUAGCCUUUCAAAUAAACAAAUAAAUAGAUCAUUUCAGAAAAAGAGAUAAUUAAAAUAUUAUAUCCUAAUGAAUAAUGUUUCUGUGGUCUCAAUCUACCUUGGAAAUUUGAUGAAAACUAUAAAUUCUUAUUCCUCAGAGUAGGAAUGCACACAUACAAAACUUUUGCACACAGACUCAGAAAAUAUAAAGAUAUAAGAAAGUACAACCAAAGACUUGAAGUUAAGAUUCUUUGUUCAAGAUGUACUCCCCAAAGAGGGAAUAAAGUUCUCAGUUUUAUUUAUGUUUUAUAACUUUUGAUCAUUCAGAAUCAUAAUUCAUAACUUUUAAAUUUGGAAGGGACUUUAUAGUCUAAAUCCUUGUUUUUAACAUUUUUUUAGAAAUAGUACUAUGUUCUGAGAAAAUACUUGGUAUUUCAGCUACACAGUGGACUCUAUCAAUUUCACAUUUCUAUAAUUAGGGAAAAUAGAGUUGGGCAUUGUUGUGCAGUGGGCUAAGUCAUUGCUUGGAAUGCCUGUGUACCAUAUCAGAGCACCAUUUCAAGUCCCAGUUACUCUACAUUUAACCCAGCAUCCUGCUAAUGCAUUGUUGGAGGCAGUAGAUAGCUCAAUGACUGAGUCCUGCCACCCACAUGGGAGACCUCAGAUUGAGUUCUGGUCUCCUGGAUUCUGUCUGGCCCAGCCAUGGCUGUAUUGGCAUUUGGGGAAUGAGCUAGUAGACGGAAGAACUCUCUCUGUGUCUCUCUCCCUCUUCCUCUCUCUCUCUCUCUGUGAGAAUCUACCUUUCAAAUA